GGAUAUUGUUGUGUCAAUGUACAUUAAGAAUAAGAUUAGUUUAAAGGCCAUAUAUUAUUGGCAGGUGUUUACAUUUUGGACACCUUGAAGCUGAGGGAGGGAGACUCGGCCACGACGCUGUGAACCAUUUAGUCGCCUUACACCGCUAGUGCCUCUGCUACAUACUGUAUAGCAAAGGUACUGCUCACCAUUCUUUGGCAAACACCGUCCACCCCCACCAGCAAGAUUGUGCGAACCGCAGUGGAGUUCACGCUAAACAACAUCAUGAUGGAUCAGAUGUCAAGUCACCAACAGCUACGUGUCCUGGUGGAGCAACUGCAGCGAGAGGCCAAUAUAGAUCGCAUGAAAACCUCGGAGGCAAUCAAUCAUCUGAAGGAGUAUGUGCGAGAACACCAGAAGGACGACUAUCUAUGCCACCCAGCGAGGAACCCCAGGGCCAACCCAUUCCGAGAGAAGAGCAUCUGCCACAUCCUUUAGACUCCGCCUUCACUUGUAUUUUUGUAGUUUGACAAGUCUUAACUCCUCAACUACGAUGACAUAAACCCUUGAGUAUGAUGACAUAACUGCUUGAGUACUGAGGGGUUUAAACUCAGAGUAUUCAAAGGGUUAAGUCAUGGUAUUCAAGGGGGUUGAGAACUAGAAUGCCUGUAAUCCAACUGUGAAUUUUAAUCUUGCUGUAAAUGAUAAAAGGCACAAAGCUUCAUUUGAUUUUAAAACUUUCUGAUAAUAAGUACAGUACUUAGCUGUAAAAAAUGUUGAUAGAUUGUUGAAAAAAAAUUUGAUCAUGGUUUUGUGAUUUAGUAAACAGCAGUGUCCAUUUGCUGACAACAGGUACAAGAAAAAAAUGAGAAAAUCCCUAUGAUUGAUUAGGUGUUCCAUAUGGGUGAGUCCAUAUUAAAUUAUCCAUUAAAAAAAAAGAAGAAGAAUUUUAAGCAGCUGCAAUGAUAAUUUCUUCAACACAUUAUGGUAACUAAUUAGCGAUACAAAUUUUCUAACUCAUUUUUUAUAUAAUUGUAGUUCUGUCUUCAUUAUUUGUGGUCAUGCUUUAUGAAAAUAAUUUCUUCAGCACAUAACAAAUAAGCCAUACCAUUUUCUAACUUUAUAUUUGAAUGUUGCUCUGUCUUCAUUAUUUGUGGUAAUAAGUAUGACAAUAAUUUUUUGGAGCUUUAUGGCAUAACCUUUAAAUGUAUAAUUUGUGUUUUCAUCUACUGUACUUCAGAACGUCCGAACAAAAGCUUUAUCAUCACCGAGACUAUAACUUUUUAAGCUGUGUAUUAUGUGUGUGUAGCUGUUUUAAUGAAUAUCUGCGAGUAUAUGUAUUUUGUAAAGUAAGUUUCAAAAUGUUUAUGAGAAAACUAAUUAUUAUUAUUGAUGUACUGUACCUCAUGAAAUGCUUUUUAUACUAGGCCUAAUUAAUAUACGUACUGUAUCAAGUACGAAGAGGAUGGCCUUGGGGGGGGGAUCGGAUGUUUUGUUUAACGAUGUGCUGUACAGGCGUUAUGUGACUCCAAUUACCAUUUUUUGUAGCACGUACCGGAGAAUGGAACGGUAACAUAGUUUAGGGUCACAAAUUAUUGAACAUUGUUGAUAUGAAGAAAGAUUUAAUGUUUAGAGUGUGUGUUGGCUCAAGAGUUAUAUAUAAAACAUGUUGACAAAUUGAUUAGUUUAUACCAUAUAGGGUGCGUCAGAAGUCACUUUACCGAGAUAAUUAUUUUUACAUGUUGCAACACAAGUUUUAACAUUGUGGGUGCGAUAGUGAGUUAACAGCUUGCGGUUUAGUAGAAAUUCAACUCACUAUUGCACCCAGUGUGUUAAAGUCAGUGUUACCAAAACAGUUCAGCCAAGUGCAGGUAUAAAAUACUUAUUCUCAUUACAGCGACUUAUAACUCAUUCUGUACCUAGACUAGUUCUGGCCCUCCUCACAAUGAUAAUACUCAAUCUACUGUCUGAACUAUUAACUGAAUAUAACAAAGGCAUAAGUUUACACUGGCAUUUUGGAAGCUGGGAAUGUCAUGGGACAAUUUAGGGCUGAAUUAUUUAAUUUUGUCCUGCAGAACAUAGGAUGGUGUUGCUCUCACAGGAUUUCCUCACUCCAUUAGGUUCUUUUAACAUUAUAUUUCACACUUAAUGUUAUGGUUGUUUUUUAAAGUAUUGACCAACUUAAAACUCUGAAAUGUUGUAAUUCUCCAUGUUUAUUUUUUCCAAACAAUUUUGAAAAUCAGAAAAAAAUAUUCUUUGUGUAACUCGUGGGCAGCUCAUCAAUGGUAAAUGUUAUUGAUUGUUACUACCUUCUGUUCUUGGAUAGUCAUGAGUAGAAACCCUAGAGAUAUGGACUGUACCAUCUGUAAUAUUUGUUUAUUAUCACUUCUUCAAAUUUACUGUAAUACAUACAGCAUAUGAUGUCUGGCUGUAUCAGAGGAAUGUAUAUCUUGUACAUUUAUUAUUAAAAUCAGUUAAAAAACUACAUUCACUAAAAAAACUCCCAGUUCAUUUAUUGUGGUACUUGUCAACCUUGCCAAUUAUCUUGAAAGUCAAGCAUUCUUUUCCUUGCCUACCAUUGUGACUUGUGCUGUUGAUGGUCCAUGAUGAAUAUUCAUGUGACAAUGAGUUCUCAUGUUUGCUGUUGUUUUUAAAUCUUAGCCACUGAACAUCUUAAGAGACAAGGAAACUGUUCCUAUUAUCUUUCAACAGUAAGGGCUCCUGUUUAACAGUACAGGAACCUUGUCAACAUUAAGGGCUCAUUUUCACUUAACCAUCAAAUUAGUGAGUGUCCAUUUAUCCUUCCAUACAAAACUCUUGCACUUGUUCAGCCCGUAGUCAGUCAAGGUAUCUGGAUCCUUUAAUAGCAGGAAGAUCUUAUAAAAAUAUAUGAUAGAAGAUUGCUAAAGAAUAAUACUGUAUUCUUGUGCUAUUAUAAUGUUGAAUUUAUAAACAGUCAUGACCAAGUUUAGUCAGGUUUACCUACAUGGUAAUUGGUUUUAAUUAAUGGAUUGAAUGUUCUUGCCUGGCUAUUUUUUGCUUAUACGUAUACGAAGAUCAUUUCAACGAAGAAACACCUAAAAGGUAACAUCUCUCUGGGUCUUGGUAAUUAUAGGUGAAUGAGGUCUUGUAUUUAGAUUGGCAAAAAUGUUGUAUAAGUGUUCAGAUAAAAUGAGGCAAACAACAUUUAUAAAUCAUGUGUAUUGGUGGAUAAUAUUUUAAGAGUCUUCCAAGGUUGUGCAAACUAACAGGUAGUUGGUGCCUGUGUCUGGCCCCCCUACCACCAGGUUUAUUGAAGUCUUGUCUUAAAUAUCAUGAUGUGAAGGUAUUAUUCUUGUUUUAUAAUAGAGAAAGGGAUCAGCUACACUUAUUGAUGGUAUUAAUAUGCAUUCAAUAAUGAUAAAAUUAUAUUUGAACAUUAAGAUGAGAUUAUUUAAAUCCUUAUGACAUACUUGUUUUCUUCAUGGUAUUAUGCAGCUGUAAAGAUUCCUAUUUUAUUGUAAUUGCAUACUGUAUAUUAUUUUGUAAGCUCUUUAUUUUACUAUUGUUACACUCAAUGGUAGCUAUUCAAUAUAGCUGUGGUUGACUGAAGAUCUGAUAACAUUCAUGAUGGCAACUACAGCAUGGUGUGUAUGAUGGAGAGGUGCAGCUCAUAUUCUGAUCAAUCCAUUACCUCUCUGCCUUCAGUGCUACAUAUAAUAUCCAAAUCAGCAUAAAUUAAAUAUGUUCAUCAAUGUGACAUCAGUUAAUACACAUUCUGCUGCAUUCAUGAAGGAGAGAACCAUUCUGAAAUGUUUAUUACUUAUUGAUAUUACAAGAUCUGAAGUGCAUCAAGCAUAUGAGUUUGGGUGCACUGCCUUUUUAUUUUAUCCAUUUUAAGUAAAUUUCAGCAUAAACCCCCAAAAAUGUUCUUUCAUAUUUUUUCUUCAGUUUAUGCAGUACUGUAUGAGGGCUACAUUUCAAGUACUUAUUAGUAUAAGUUAUUUGUAAUGUUUGUAAAGAAUUGGUCUUGUUUGCUGUUAAAGGCAUACUGUAUUCAUAACUUUUUUUUUUACUUUAUUCAAUAAAAAACUAGGAUUAUAGAAGUUCAUAUCCCUGUGGUUUUACUGCAUUAUCACAUUCUAUCAACUUGUGAUCGGAUAAGGAUAUAUUUGGUUGUUGCAAGAUGAUUGAAGUACUCUACCGCACAAUACUGUAAACUGGUUCAAAAUAAAAGAUUCCCUUGGA
rnacentral:lncRNA from 1 species